GAAUCUGUGGAGGCUCUGUCUUCCUCCCUCUCUCCACCCAGCUCUGUGUACUUGAGAAUUCCAUCCCAGCCCCCACUCCGAAAUGUGCACGUGGAUAUGAGGGAAAGUUCUCAGCUCUGAGGGGGGAGAAGUAGAUUUUGGUGACCCUAGCGGGUUUCCUUGCCCCUAAAAAAUUGCCAUCCAGUGUUCAAGGGACACAGGAGUCACGACUAGAGGAUUUUGUCAUCACUGGAAACGGAGGCCCAAGGAACAGAGGGUUUCAGGCCUGAUCUUGGAGCAAAAAAGAAGAUGAUUCUGGAUUGCAGCCUGGAAAUCGGUAUUUUCAGACAAGAGCUCCAGCAGGUCAUUGGCAUAGAAUGGACUAGAAUGUCAGAGUCUUUCUGCAACUACCAGAGGGGAGAAUAGUUUCCACUCUGGAUUCCAGAGGAUCAAGGCCCCUCUUUCUGAGUUGUGUUCUCUCUCAGCCUGCUCAGUCUGAGGGAUGGCACAGCGUUCUCCUCACUGAGGAAAGCCUCCGUCUUUUGCUGCCCCCCUCCCCCACCACAGUCCCUCCGUCUUCCGGUCUCUUCUUCUUUCCCAGCAUUCUUAGGCUGCUGGGCCUCGGCUAGCUUCAGUCACAGGUACUGCUCUAUGACUUCCUGGAACAGCCUGGCCUGCUUUGCCAGCUCCCUAGGGUCUCUCAUCACCAGCCAGCACGAAACCCAGGGGCAUUCUCGGAAAAACAAUGCACCAUGGACUUCCUGGAAAGCGUCUGGGGCUCUGUCAAUCAAAAGAAGGCUGGGAGAGGCUUCUGGUGACACCGCAGGGGUUAUUUCUUUGAAGAGGUGAGUGAGGGGUGCGCUGCUGAUUUACUGUUUUGUUUUUCCUGGUCCCAUUAGUGGAUUUACCUCAUCUGCGCUCUUCUUAGGCCUUCCCUGUCCCUAAGCUUAGAUAACUGCGAACAAACCAGCUUAUCGAAGGAUCAACCCCAUCACACUGGCAGUCCAAUUUUGUCCUUUCGUGACAUUUACUGAGUGUUUACUGAGUUGUGCGUGCUCUACCAAGGGCUCCAACAGCAUUGUCUCAUCUCACUAUGACAGCGUCUCACAUGAGGAAGUUAAGCCUCAGAGAGAUUAAGUAACACUUUUCAUGGUCACAUAGCAAUUAAAGUGUGUGAGUCAGAAUCUGAACUCAGGAUCACCUGGUUCCAGGCCAUAUCAUCUCCUCACCUCUUUGCUAUGCUUUCCUGGCUCUGUGUAGGAUAUCACAGCUUAACCAUCAGUGAAUAAUACCCCUCUGUGUGCCAGACGCAGGCCCAGGACUCCAGGGAUGGGUGAGAUACAGUUCCUGUCUUUGAAGAGCUUUCAACCUAGUAGACAAAGCAGGCAGUCUCACACACAAACACUUCUACUUGAGGCAUCAAUAGGAGUUCAGGGAGUUGAUGUGGGGAUGGGAGGCCACUGACCCCUGUGUUUGGCGAUGAGAGGCGUGUGCCAAAACUCUCUGACAGGGCAGGGAUGUCUGGCAGGGUCAGAAGCAUGGAGGAUCUUCCUUCUCACCCUGAGUGCAGUGUCUGUUUACCUGGAUACAGAGUCAGCCAAUACGUCUGCUUUACUCCGAGGUACCAUGAUCUCCCCGAGACUGAAUCAACACUGGUGAAAUGUUCUACAGACUUCUCCAUCUAAAGCCCAUAUAUCUGAGUGACUGUGUGUGAAAGACAGCUAGAAUGCUUGCACUGAGGGUGGGAGUGGGGGUGCCAUCAGGAUGUCAGGGGAGUGGG